GGCCUUUUCAUUUAUUGCAUAGUGCCUAUAUCGGGAUUGCCGGGUUCGCCCGGCUAUGGCGAUAAAAUGCAGUGUGAAAUAGACGCAGCGGACCCGGGGGCAGUACCCGGCGGCUCCACCACAACCGGCUCCGACCAAGAUCGGGAAGGGCGGGUUAUGACGGGGCCGAACCAGGAUCGACGUGUGUUGAAAGGCGCUGCUUUUGCCCGGGCUGAGUAACCUGUAAAAGGCUCAAAACCACAAGUGCUAACGAUAACGAAGCACUCGCAAUUGCGGCCUAACCCAAGACUUAACGGUCUGGGGGCCGGGCAACAGAACCCCCCACC
rnacentral:tmRNA from 1 species